CGCGUCGCCUCCGCGCGCUGCACUGCGGCGCAGUGUCCUCGGCGCUCCGCUGUUCGCGGCCUUUUCUGUGCCUCCCCAGGUCCGGGCGCGGCCUCUGCUGCGCGGCCUCCUCAGCGCCCGGACAGGUCGGUGCGCGGUCUCUUCUGCCCUCGGACAGGUCGGUGCGCGGUCCCCGCUGCGCGGCCUCUUCUGCCUUUGGACAGUGGCAGUGCGAUCUUGGCUGCGUGGCCUCCGGUGCGUGGCAUCCACUACGUGGCCUCUUUGGCCCUCGUAUGCGUUGGUGCGCGGCCUCCGCUGUGCAACCUCUUUGGCCCUCGGAUGCGUUGGUGCGCGGCCUCCGCUGCGCGGUCUCUUUGGCCCUCGGACUGGUUGGAGCGCGGCCGCCGAUGCACUGGGAUCCGAUCGCGGCAAGGGACGGCGAUCGCCAGCGGCGCGGAGCCGGUCCCCAGCACCCCACCUUGGACCACCCACCUGGCGGUGGAUGAAGACCACAGAGCCCAGGAGCCUCCAGGUGCCUCCCUGGCGAUCCACAUGCAGCAUCCGGAGGAUCUGGAGGAAGCGGAUACCCCUGGGAAGGAGAGAGCAGGACUGCGAGGACCACAGCUGUCCCGGGGGCACCUGGGCCCAGGGGACAGUGGAUGGGAAGGUCACAAUUCCGGGGAAAACCCAACACCAUCAUGUCAACUGGGCAAUUCCAGCCAGGUCUGCACCCGAAGACAGGAAGUAGGGCUGAGGAGACGCUGCGUGGCCGUGGCCACAUCAGCCCCGGGUGAGCGGAAGGCCGUCCACCCCCUCAGCGGAGAGACAUGCAGAUGCAGGCCAUGACAGGCAUUCACCUUGGGGACACUGCUCAGGCAGGCAGGCAGGCCGGGCACCGAGGACAAGCAGUGUGUGUCUCUAGCCUGAGGCCCCACGUCACCAGGUAGGAGGGAGGGAGAGGGCAGAGAGCAGGAGUCGGCGUUUGACGGAACAAGGCCAGUUUGGGAAGAUGAGGAUGUUCUGGGGGUGGGUGACGGUGACAGCGCACAGCAGGGUGAUCGUGCCCAGUGCCCUGGACCAUGUGCCUAACCACCGUCCCGAUGGGGAAUCUUAGGUCGUGUCUGUCUUAACCACAGUUUAAAAAUGAAAGCAAGCGGGGGCCUGGGGGAGGGAGGAGCGUGGCUGAAGGCACCGGGGUCCCCCUGGGUGGUGGGAGCCCUCCGGAGCUGGACCAGGUUUGUGCAGCCCUGUGGCUAGAAUGCCACCAGCCACCAAGUGCAGCAGUGCAUGCUGGGACACGUGGGGUGCACCACAGCGAGGUCCUGCCCUGCAGCCUGGCAGCCCCUUGGGUUGGGUGUCCUCUGGUCCUCUAGGCCACCAGCAGCCACAGUAUGUGGCCCCAGAGAGUCAGACAGCCAGGACCCAGCUGCCAGCUCGUGGGUCUGGACACUGUGAGGAGAGCCCUGCAGGCCACUGUCAUGCAGAGGGCAGUGAGGUGGCCGGCAGGGAGGCUGCGUCCCCUCUGGGAGGGACAACGAAGGAAGCUCACAGAGGCGUCUCUGAUGUCACCGUCAUGUCAUCUCAUAAGGAGAAGUUAAUUUUAAAGAGAGCGAAACAUUAACGACUGAGGAUUGAGGACUGGGCCUUACAGAGGGGUGGUCAGGGCAGGAAGGCCCAGAGAGUGAGAGGGAGCGGAGGCCUGGCCAGCCUCUCUGGAGGCCCUGUGAAUGCUGAACAGGGCAGACUUAGGGAAGCAGGCCUGCGAGACCCUUGGCUGGAGCUCCUGGCACAGGCCGGGGGGCUGUGGGGUCCUGGGGUUAGGGUGUUGCCCUCCUAAGCCUGGGGGCUUCAAUGAGCGGGGGAUAAUGGUCCCUGUAGCAGAGACCAGCCAGUGGGCUUCAGGGCCAGCUGUUCCAACUCAAUGUGGGCCCCGUAAGCCACAGCAGAGCCAGCCUCGGCGUCCCUGGGAGGGUCAGCUGGCCAGGGCGCGACGCAGGCAUGCAGGCUGCUCAAAGCGCCCUUUGUCCCAGGGCCUGCCUGUGGCCAGCUGCUCCCAGCCGCCAGCCUAUGUGGAGGGCUCCUGGGCCCCGGGUGACAUGUGCUGGGCACAGCUGGAGCCCUCCAGCCACGCUGCCGCCGGCCCUGGGAGCACCCUCCCCCAUCAGAGCAGCCCUGGCCUGGGGCAGGUGCCAUGCUCCCCACCCCACCCCCCAUCUGGUCAGGUGAGACACUGGGUGCUGGCACUCUGAGGAGGCAGCGAGGACGGCAGGUCAGUGCAGAGGACAGAGCCAGGACCUAGGAGAGACUCCCUGCCUGCCCAGCCCCCCUGUCCAGUGUCCCUCUGCCUGCCCCGGGGCCCUCCUGUCCAGUGUCCCCCAGCCUGCCCCGGGCCCUCCUGUCCAGUGUCCCCCUGCCUGCCCCGGGCCCUCCUGUCCAGUGUCCCCCUGCCUGCCCAGCCCUCUCUUGUCCAGUGUCCCCCUGCCUGCCCCGGGCCCUCCUGUCCAGUGUCCCCCUGCCUGCCCCGGCCCCUCCUGUCCAGUGUCCCCCUGCCUGCCCCGGCCCCUCCUGUCCAGUGUCCCCCUGCCUGCCCCGGCCCCUCCUGUCCAGUGUCCCCCUGCCUGCCCCGGGCCCUCCUGCCCAGUGUCCCCCUGCCUGCCCCGGCCCCUCCUGUCCAGUGUCCCCCUGCCUGCCCCGGGCCCUCCUGUCCAGUGUCCCCCUGCCUGCCCCGGCCCCUCCUGUCCAGUGUCCCCCUGCCUGCCCUGGCCCCUCCUGUCCAGUGUCCCCUGCCUGCCCUGGCCCCUCCUGUCCAGUGUCCUCUCCCUGCCCCGGGCCCUCCUGUCCAGUGUCCCCCUGCCUGCCCCGGCCCCUCCUGUCCAGUGUCCCCCUGCCUGCCCUGGCCCCUCCUGCCCAGUGUCCCCCUGCCUGCCCAGCCCUCUCUUGUCCAGUGCCUCCUGGUCUGUGAGCACAGCCAGGAGGCUGGGCCGGAGCCUGCCCACAUGGUAGUGGAACCUGCUGUGGUUCCGUGCUCCCUUGGGCCCCACCGAAAGCGCAUCCACGGCCUGCAGGCUCGGCCCUCCACACCUGGGUGCCCAAGGUGUCCUGAAACGGGCCAGCUUCCUUGGAAGGCAGGGCAUUCAGACCCUCUGCCCCAGGGAGUCCUAGCAGGAGAAGACGAGGCCUCUGAGAAGCCGACCACUGGCUAGCUGGCCAUCUGAGUGCCAAGAGCCCCGGGACAGUGGCCUUCCCCAGGAGGGGGUUCUGGAUGCCACCAGCCAUGCAUCAGCGGUAGCUCUGUGACCCCACCACGAGGGCAGUACAGAUCUGGGGCAACCCUGAGCAGCACAGAGCCACUUUCCCCCGAGAACUAGCCCCACCUGCCAGCUGUCCAGGCGGCCAUUCUCCACACUGAGCAGGAGAGGCCACAAGGUUUGCUUGGUCACCAUGGGGACAGGCGUUCCCACCCACCCAGUAGCCGGGCCUUUGAGUGUGUGACAGCUGUCCUCUGGUCCUCUCCCAGGCCCCCUCCAGCAGGUGGCAUGAGGCUCAUGUCCACGGUGGCUCUCGUGGAGCUCACAAGGCCAAGGUCACAGACACGGCCUGUAGGGCUAGGUGGCCCCUGCCCUGUGUUCCACACCCAGGCAGCUCUGGGUGCUGGGUCCAGGUCUCCCUGCCCCUCCCUCUGGCCUAUGGGAGCCACGUCCAAAGACCUCACUACACUCUCCAGGCCUAGUGGCCAUCCCAGCCAGAAGGCAGCCUUGCAGAAUGACGGAAGUGCAGUGUGCUGCCCAAGGGCGCCCCUUGAGCAAACCCCACCUGCAGGCCGGGGCUUGGGUGGUCCCUUCUGCCAGCUCAGGAGCUCGGCUCCAGGCCUCCUCCUCAUCUGUCAUUUCCAGUGCCUGUCACUCAUGCACCACAGAUGGGUCAGAGCAGGAGGCGGCCGGGGUGGCCAGCCCUGUGUGUGCAUAGUGGGGGGCAUCUCUGGGCAGAAAGGGCCAAGACAAGACUCAGGCCACACCCGUGGGCCCAGCAUAUUCCUGGACCCAUUAUCAGGGCCAAAUGCUUCCCAGGAUCGCAGGCUUCUGGGCCCAGCCUCCUGAAUAAAGGCUGCCCACCCAGGUGGGGAGAAGGCCCCUCGGUGACUUUAACUCCACAUGUGCUGCCGGUGCCUCGUGGAGGCCGACUAGAGUUACAUGCAUUUCAGGUGGUUUAACGAGGUGCCUCCAGCCCUGGGACCCUGCUCGCUGUGAGCUAGCGAGGUGGGGCUGCCCACGCACUGCCCGUACCUUCCUCCCGGCCUGGGUGUUCUCGAGGUCAGGAGGCAGACAGGGCUUAGCAGCCAGCGACACCUAAUGGGGUGGAGGAGGCAGACGGUGCUGAGAAGAGGCCCAUAGGCCAGCCCGCUGACCCCGCCCCAAAGUGGGCCCCCAGAGAUCCCAAACAAGCAACCGCAGAGGGAUGCCCGGCCCAGCACACAAACCAAGCCAUGGCCUCAGAGGGCAGGCCCCAGCAGGCUCCACGAGGGGGCACACAGGCACAGGCGCACACGCCUCACUACGGCCGUAUGAGGGGUGAAGGGCACCCUCUGCGGAGUUGCCCACGUCACCAAGCCCAGCAGGCACUGUGGGUGAUGGCAGGGGAUUGGCAUCAGCGCUGGAUGGGGCAGAGACCAAGGGCCUUCCGCGCUGCAUGGUUUAGGGCGCAGCCACCUCGCCACGUCCCCCACGUCACCUUUCUCCUCGAUGUCCAGCACAGCAUUGCUCAACAGCAGAAUAGUCAGCUCCCCCCCCCCAUAUUCUAACAAUGUAUUUAUGAUCACAUUGGGUUUUGAUCAGAGACUCUGUCCAGUUAAAUCUCCCUAUUUUGAGAUGUAUUAAGGUUCUUUAAACAAUUUAACAAAUUGUUUCAAAAAUGUCCUGUGGGCAUAAGGAAACAAAAUGUCUCCAUUAUUGGGAUCCAGAAAUAGAGAUCUGGUCUGAAACAGUCCUGGCACUCUCUGCCACUCCUCCCACGGACUCUGGGCUUUGUGACCAGGGGAAGGCAGGAAGGAUGCACAGAGGAUGUGGCAGUCUCCUGGCACUUCCACCCCCUGGAAGGCUCGCUUCUGAGACCAGCUCUGAGCAAUGCAGUUUCAGAACACUCCUGGGAGAGGGGCCUCGUGCCAGCCCUGCUGGGCUCCUGGGUGCCCUGCUGGGCUCCUAGCUGCCGCCAUGCAGAGCAAGGACAGGUCUGAGCCCAGCUCAGGCUGCAGGCCAGUGACCUGAGCCCUGGUGGCUGUUUGAAGCGGGGUAAAGUAGUGGACAUCUGCUCCACAGCUAGAUCAUAGGAACAGGUUUUUCAGUUUACUGUUAGAGUAGGGAACUGCUCAGGAUCACAACAAUUGAGUCUCUGUCCUUGCUUUGUGUCUGCUAGAAUUGUUCUGCAAGAGGUGCAUAAACCUUCCAUGUUUAACCUGCUCUUCCCUGCACACUGGUUUAGCUUUACACAGUUUACGCUGUUAGUUGCCUUAACAUUUAUAUUUAGGCCUCCCCCCAUAAGUGGUGCCAUCCGUCAUCCACACUCAUCAUAUCUGGACUUCACUGCUGACAAUAAUGUCCUCCCUGUUUUUUUUUCCUGAACUUUAUAUUUGUAUGUAGUUUCUUGGCAUAUUUUUGGCCAUCCUUUUAUUUUUCAAUAGUCAAUUAUUGGUUGGGUUUGCUUAAUUCUAUUGAACGAUUCAUCUGUUUAAAAUAAAAACCAGGGUGGGGUGUAGCUCAGUGGUAGAGCACUUGCCUAGCAUGUGCAAGGCCCUGGAUUUGAUUCCCAGCUGCAAAACAGAAACAAACAAACCACGGAUACUCCUGACAUUCUCUGUCUUUUAACAGAGGAAUUCGGGACAUUUAUAUUUAGUGUACAAUUGGAUUCAUUUGAUCUGAUUCUCUUCCUUUUCACACUUGAGGUGGUACCUGUUUGGUCCUCGCGCUCUUACAUUUCUCAGUCGAUGGGCGCACUGCUGCUCCCUUGGUGUCUCGUGAGUCUGGACAUCUAACUGCACUCUGAGCUCCACUGGUUCUCUACAGAACUGAACAAGCACUUAUCUCAAGUCUGUUUCCACUCCAUUGACUUUCCUGAGGCUUCCUUCCAGCGGAGGAGACUUCCUGUGUGGCUUCUUUCUCCCUGCGCUUCACCUCUGUCACUCUGUGGGGAACAAAGCCAUCUCCAGCACCACCGGACAGCCAGGCAGGCCAGAGGGUCUCUGUCCUGACGUGGAGGCACAAAGCUCAGCAGAGAACGUGUUGGCAAGCAUGGGGUGCAUGUGAGGUGACUCUACACUGGCAGGCAGCCUGGCUGCCCUGAGGUUCGUGGUCCCCUGGGUUCCAUCAUCCUCUGCUGGUCCUGGGUCCGAGCAUCCUCAGCCCCCAGCCAUGGGCUCAGGUCCCUUCCCUAGCUGUGCCUCAAAGUGGGACCAUCUUGGAACAGGGCUGCAGAUGUGCCUAGGUAAGAUGAGGUGGUGGGGACCAGAUUACCGGAACAGGGGGGCCCCCACCCAAGAGGGCUGGUGGCACCGAGGCACAAGGGAUAGUGCCACACAAGCACAAGGGCCAAGGCGAUGUACAAACCAAGGACCAACCAAGACUCGAGCAGCCACCAGCAAGGGGAGGGGUCUGACAGGCUCUCCCUCGUCCUUCGAUGGAGCCACACUGUUAAUGCCCAGUCCUGGACUUCUGACCUGCUGGGGCAGCAAGUGGCACCAGGCUGUCACCCAGGCUAGGCCAGAGAGUGGAUGAAAUUCCUGCAGAUGUCCAGAAAUGCCUCUCCAGGAGGGGUCCCCACUGCGUUGGUGAGGGCACGCUUGCUCCUGUGGGGGUGUGUGACUUGCCACCUCCCCACACCACGGAACUCCUGCUCUGAGGACGGACUCGGGCAUCUGGAGCAUCCAGUCCGAGGACCAGCAGGUCAAAGAUGCGUGUGUGGAAGGGACACUCUGAGCAGUGGGAAAGGCAGAUGGAGCUGCCUGGAGCGCAGGCCCUGAGCCCCGGGUCACACCUGGGGCCUCUGCACACCGGAGCGGCCCCCGUCAGCCACCCUACAACUUGUGGCGGGGGAGCGUGGGCCCCAGGACGGGGAGCUGGCAGGCAGCCUCGCAGUGCUUAGGACAUAGCCUCCCCUUCCCAGCAGGCGAUUCCCACCUCCAGCCGCCAACCAGGGGCACACUUUCAGGCCACUGCUGAUGCCUCCUCACACCAUGGAAGCCUCACCCCCCCCCCAUAGCUCCCUUAAGUGGGGCUGGAACGGAGAGGGGGGUCCCACCUGGAGCCCACUAAAUUGCCCUGGUUAAGAAUUUACGCAGGACUUUAAGUCCAGCAAAGCAGAGAGACUGGGGGGGCAGCGCCUGGCUGUGGUGCCUUGUUCUGGACGGGUCCCUUCAGCAGAGGCCACAGUGCUGUGCCCAGAUCCCUGCGUUUAGGGCUGCAGAGGCCGGGCAGGGGCUGCGCUGGGCGAGUCCGCGGCCCUCUCGCUGUUUACCGAUGGCCGGGUGCCCUGCUCGUUCUGCAGAUCUAGAGAUUUUAAUGACAGGCGGUGAAUUUAGACAGUUUUUUUUUUUCCCCUUUCAGGAAUGUUUUAAGGGAUUGAGAGGAAAUUGUGCACGGAUUUUGCUGUUUUAAGAGCUAAUAUGUGAACAACUUCAGAAGCACGGUGUUGUUUUAGGGCUGCAGUUUACACAGUGAGGGGGACACACAGAGCAGCUUGUCCUGGGCUCUGGAGCCUGUCUCCUUGGGUUCACUCCCUGGGGAAGGGGCUGCCUUCCAGGGGAGCAGAGCUAAAAGGGAGCACCAAGUCUGACCCCAGCUCCCACCACAUCCUGUGCAGGAUGGCUGGGGAGGGACGUGACGCUGGGUGGCCAGCAGCAGGUGGGGUGGCAAGGGGCUAGGAGCAGCUCUGGGGUCCCUGGGGUGGGUCCCCCUGCACAGGGCUGCAUUGUGACUCUUGGGGGCCACAUAGCCCUAAACUGCUCAGGAACGUCUCCCAUGGUGGUCUGUGUCUAUAUUCAGUGGGGGGACGUCUGCUCCUUGGGGACAAACACCUUUGAAGAGACAACCAGAGAGCCUUGCCUGCUAACUCUAGUGCAAAACUCCCCGCCAGAAACUGCAGGCCCGCAGGGCUUCAUGACUCCCCCCAACACCCAAGGGAGAAACGCCAAGCUCCCGCAAGACGGCGGGCGGCCGACACCUCCCAGCUCACUCUGAUGCACAGCCAAGGGCAGGAUGGGCAAACGGAACAGAUGCCACCCUGCGUGGCAUGGGUCACGGUCCACAAGUCUCAGCAGGUCCGGGCGCCUCAGGACCAAGCGGGUCUCAGGGAGGGAUACAGGGUUCCACUCUGAAAUCAGUUGGUGUCGCUCGCUGGGUUCCCAAGCAAGAGGGGAGAGGAGGGCGGCCAUCUCAGCAGGGCAGAGGCCGCUGACAGAGAUCCAACAGCCGUUCUUGAUGGCUCUCUGUUCCCAGCAAACUGGGAAGAAAAGGAAUCUAGCCUGGUCAACAGCACCUGCAGAAGCCCCACAGCUAACGUCACUCCCACGGAAAGAGCAGUGCUCUGCCCUCCACGCCAGCAGCAGGAAGGGACAUCUGCUCUCUCCUCACCGCCGAGAGUGGAGCGGGAGGCCUCGCCAGUGCUGUCAGGGAGAAACAAGAAAUAAAAAGCAUAUGGAUUGGAAAGGAAAAAAUAAGAUUAACUUUAUUUGGGACAACAUGAUCGUCUCCAUAGAAAAUCCUAAAGAAUCUACAAAAAACAAACAAAAACAAAUGAACAGAAAUCCCUCUAGAGCUAAUUAGGUUAGCAAAGACACAGGACACAAGGUCAAUAUGAAAAAAUCAGCUGUACUUCUACAUCCCAGCAGCCAACAGUCCAAAAAUGGGAUGGAGAAAAGGCGUCACUUAAGCCGCUUCACAAGUACAAAGCACUUAGUGACAUAUCUAGCAAGUUCUGUGUAAUGGGUCCCACAAGCUACACGGCAUUCCAGGUAUAUGGUCGCAUGUUCCCGGUCAGAAAACUUGGGGAACGCCGGAGCCCGUCUCCCCACCAGUGCAAGGCCGUCGGAAUCCCAGCAGGGUUUCAUUUUUUUCAUGGAAACCGACGGCUGAUUGCAAGAUUUACAUGAGCAUGUGAAGCCUGGCAGGCAUCACACUUCUGAAAUGAGCAAACUUGGAGGAUUAACAGGACCUGAUUUCAAGGCUUAGCAUAAAAGUCACAGUAAUCAGGACAGUGCUUUGCUGGCAGGACAGAUCACAAAGUCCAGAAAUCGGACCCACACACACGGCCAACUGAUUUUCAUCAAAGGUGCCAAAGUAAUUCCAUGGAAAGAAGUUGCUGGGAAGACGGGGUAACCACAUGCAGAAAGACUUGACCUCGAUCCGUGCCUGUCACCGUACAUAAGAUCAGACUUGAAAUGAAUCGCAGAUCUAAACAAGAAAUGUGAAACUGUAGGGUUUUUACAGAAAACAGGAGAGAAGGCUUUGUAACCUUGGAUUAGGCAACUAUUUCUUAGAACACAAAAAAAUAUGAACCUUACAGGGGGAAAAAAAAAGCCUUGAUGAAUUGGACAUCAUCAAAAUUAAAAACUGCUGCUCGUUUGAAAGAUCCUGUUGGGAAAAUGCAGAGAUGGAGAUUGGGAGGAAAUAUCCACAAACCGCAGAUCUACAAAGACUCGCGUCGACACCGCGGCCCCGGCUCCCCCAGCUCAGAACCAGGAAGGCAGCACCCCGCGGUUGGGCUCUGAGUGCCUGGUGGACCCGUGAACGGCACGUGUGCCAGUUAGUCCCCGGGGUGCAGAGGGAGCCCCCACACGAGGGCCGAGACUCAAGACGCAGACAACACUCAGUGCUGGGGAGAGUGUAGCCGCCUCGGCGCCCGCUCGCAGGCCGCCGGCGAGGGCACGGCGCCCACAGCCUCUGCGCAGGCAGCUUGGCAGUUCAUCGGGACGGGAAGCGGCCUGGCCACAGGAUCCAGCAGCCCCGCUCCCAGGCCCCGGCCCAGGAGGAAUGAAGACAUGAUCACUCCAAGACCUGUGCGCACAUCCUGCAGCCCUCGUCACGACAGCUGGACGGGACGGCUCAAGUGUCUGUCCGCCUGUGAACGGAUAAACAAACUGUGGUACACUUUAUCCUCUCCAAACAAAGGAAACAAACUACUGAACGCAGACCGUGACACAGAGGAGCCCCACACGAGCCGCCGUGCCAAGGGGUGGGAGCCAGGCUCGGGGUGCACGCGGCAGAUUCCAACCUCAUGACGCCGGAGAGGCGGCGGGCCGCGCCGCCGAGUUCCCUGGUGCUAGGCGCCCCCGGGCGACGGCACUGUCUCUCCCUGGGACCCAGGGGGCUGACAGCUGCAUGCAUUUGCCAGAACCCCUCGAACUCGACAGGUAUCGAGGGGAGAAUGGUCGACAGCCCCGAGCCCCAAACAGGAAGCAAUUAGGAAAUCUUAGACCCACCUAAGACACACACACACACACACACGUGCUCCGGUUGUUUCUUAAAAGAAGUUGUUAAGAGUCGCUAAGUCGAAGAUAUGGGUUUUGGAGAUUAAGAAAAAAAAAAGCAACCCCAAGACACCGAGCCCCCGUCUCCCCCGGGUCCUUCCCAGAAGCUCCUGGCCUUCCCUGGACCGCCCUCGGGGCCACCAGGCUCAUGGCCCCGGAGCCGCCUCCCUGCCUGUUCCUGGGGACCUGUGAGGGGUGUUGGCUAUGUCCCCCGGGCCCGUCCCAGCAUGCUGACCAGGCAAGUGUGUCCCAGGCCCUCCGAGGGGGUGGUGGCAGCUCAGCCCUGCCACUUCCUGCUGCCCCCGGCCCCCGGCUCAGCUGCUCAGGUGACUGCCCAGUCUUCACCCUGUCCACCCCUCCUGCCAUCCCCUUUAACCCACAUGACCUGGGGAGGGACGCCAGGCCGGGGGCAGGCAGAGGCCGUGGCGUGGAAGGACUCCAGCCAGGGUAUGGUGGCCUUCCCCCAGAAGACCAGCACCACCCGGCCAGGCCAGCAGGGUCCCUCCUGUGGGACUGAACGGCGACAGGAACCGCCUGGAGACAGUGAGGGCACAGGGAUGACAGGGUGGAGGCUCGGCCUCACUGCCGGAGUGACGUCCGCGCCCCAGCCUGAUGUCCCUGGCCCUUGACAUGCCACGCUCGUCAACUUCGACUCCAAGUCACCGUCGAGGACCCGGGAACAAGGCCACAGCCAGUCAGCCUGCCUGGGUGGGGGCUCCAUGGCUCCAGCUCAGGGCUGUCCUCCCAGGGCCUGUCCGCCCCUCCCUGAGGUCCGCAGGCUUCCCUGCCUCCUAGCAUCGAGCCCAGGGCCCUGGCCGAGGUGUGUCCCAGGGCUCUGGGGGCACCAGCCAUGGGGGACCUGUGAGCGGCAGCUCAGCCCUGCCACUUCCCUGCUGCCCUCGGCGGCUCCCCAGGUGGCCUCCCCACCUCCCCGUGCCAUUCCAUCCAACCUACAGCCACCAGGGAGGGGCACUGGUGAGCGGGGGACACAGAUGCUGGGUCCUGCUCCAUGGGCUCAGGCUGGGGGGCAGGGGUCACAGGCAGGGCCAAAAGCCCCGACUCCACAGGGCCACCCACCCCAGGCGGCACAGGAAAGGGGUGGGCGAAGCUUCACAGGCACUGGGGUCCUACGCCCAGGGAAGGGCCACACAGCACACAGCUGCCCGUGUUCCAUCCCAGCUACUCUCCCGGCUGCGCUGUGGGGAGCAGUUCCUGGAGACGCCCUGGACUUGGGCUGUUGCCAAGUUCUCUUUGAGCUGGACCCACCUCGCCAAGACCCCAGUAAACAGCACUUAGCCUCCAUCAGGCUUCCAAGGCACCCAAGGGCAUAGGUCAAACUGAGGCCCAAGAUGCCCCCAGCAGGCCAGAGGGGAGGCGUGGGAUUCCAGUGAAGGCCAGCCAAGGAGAGGGGCCCAGCCCAGUGCCCCUUGAGGCUGGGAAGCCUCCUUCCCAGCUUCCUCUCUCCCCCAGGCUCAUGUGGCACAGCUGGACAGUGUGGCCUGCUGACAGAGGGCCACCACACUGUUGGGGACCCAGAGCUUCCAGACCAACACAGUCACCAGAAUCUGCCCCCUGGGCCUGCUUCCUCAGAGGAAGUGCCGUGGCACUGACCCGGAGCCAGCCCGAGACGAAGAAACCAGGUCCUGCCCGGGCGCCCACACCUGUCACCAAACAUCCUCUAAAGUGCUGUUUUUCCAACCCGAGCAGCUCAGGGGCGGGGGGUGCGAGCGGGAGACAGGGCCCCUUUGUUCACUGCCACCGUGUCCUUGCUUUGCCCCGGGAUGGAGGCAUCCCCCUCAGCAAGUCCAUGUGAGCGUGCACACGUGCAGCUCCCGCCCAGCACCCCACGCACACGCCAUCACGCGUGUGUGCGCCCAGGAGCACGGUGCAGGCUGCCCCAGGGCGCUGUCCCCAGCCUCCCCACCCCCACACCUCUGGACCCGCUCAGGAGACUCCCCUAGCGAGCGAGCGGCAGCAGACGCGCCCACCCUCCCUGGGUUGCCAUCUUGGUGCAGAUCCGUUUCUCUGUUUGUUGUGUUUUCUUGAGAAACAAAAUCUGGCAGAAUCAGCAAAAGACCUUGGCCCACCUCCCUGGAAGAGCUGGGUCUGAGGUGUGCGUCCUGCCUCCAGCUCCCCCAGGUCCAGGCUGCUGGACCUCAGAAGAGGGGUGCCGAACCCUGGUGGCGGAUGCAGGGCCCCUGCUCCGGCACCAAAACCGGAGCUGGAAAGCAGCCCAGCCCCUCUUCCUCCUGGACCCCCCCCCACUGCAGUAUCUGGUCCUUCACAUUCCCAGCGAGACCCCAGACACCUGCAGAGGACACACUGCACCCCGUCCUUGUCACAUUCUUAACCAGGUUUACACAGCAGCACUUACACCAUUGUAAUAAUGUACAGAAAUAAAACGACUCCAACUGC